CUCUCUCUCUCUCUCUCUCUCAAAAUAAAUAAAUAAACUAAAAAAAAGAAAGAAAGAAACAAUAGCUUUCAUUUAACCAACUGUUGGAUCAAAUAGAAAAUAAAACCUGAAGUUGCAGAACCUUACCUCUCACAAGAUUGAGAAUACUGUAUACAACAACUUAAGGAAAAGAAAAUGAAAAUAAUUAAGCAUUCAGUAUAGGAAGUUGAACAAAUACAUCCAAGGAAAGCUAAAGAAAGAAAUGCAUCAAUAAUGAUAAAAACAUAAAUCAAAGCAUAAAUUAGAAAUAGAAAAAAAUAGUAGAAUUGAUAUAAAGCAGUUAAACAAUAGUAACAAAGCCCAAUCAAAUGGGUAACUUCCCACUUACCUUCAUCAAGGGUGUAGCUAGGAAGAGAUGAAAACACAAAUACAUAGAUUUAAGGUUGAGAAGAAGGAAUGAUCCACCAGUAGAGAAAUAAUUAAUAGAGUUACAAAAAACAGUUUUCAAAAAUCUAUGCUAAUAAAUGAGAAAACUCCUUAAAUGGACGAUUUUCCAGAAGAUAUGUUACCUGAAUUAACUCCUUAAAGGGAUGGAAAGAUAUAAAUGUCUAAUAACCAUGAAGGAAAUUAGUUGUCAAAGAGCCAGUGCCUUCACCUCCACCUAUUUUUGAAAACGAGAACUUUUCAUGUCUACAGUAUUCUGGCAGCAAUAUUUGUUAUCUAUAAUACGAAAAAUUUACUUCCAGCCAUCUUGAGAUUAUUUUGGUACAUUGCCUAAGCACUCUGGGAUAUGUGUUGUCUGAUUUAGAUAUUUUAAUUAGUUUAAGACAUUUAUUUAUUUUUGAAUAAUACAGGUCUCCCUUGCUAUCUGAAUGUAGAGCAUUGCAAUGAAACCUUUUGUAGGCCAAAAUGCUAUAAAGUUAAGAAGCAAUCACCAUUAAUUUAUAUGGAAAAUUUUUGAGCAUUCCCAGGCCCCCCAAAUAACCUCUCUUAGGCUUUUGUGAUACCUUAGGACAAAUCUUGUUAACAGAUGUGUGAAAUAAAUCAAGACAAAGCACAGAUGCUCACACAGUUCAACACCAUGGCAGCUUGAUGUUGAGGUGCUGAGUGUAGUUCCUGGGGAAGGAGCUUGGCAGGACCACCUCAGCUCUUCCUGGUGUAUGUGCCUCUAGAACAGCUCUGCUGCAAAACAAACAAUGAAUGCUAUUUUUGCUUUUUGUCUUUUUUCCUAAAAGUGACAAUCCUCUUCAGAUUUCUUUUGGUUAACAAAAACAGGUAGUACUAAUGUAGGUCUUUUGUAAAAGUAAAGUGAUGUAGCGCAAACUUUUAAAAAAUGGAUGGGGAGACACCUGUAUCCUUUUGUCUAUUUAUUUGGAAUUCAGUGUCUGCUGUGAAACUGGUCUUACGAAUUAAAAAAUCUAGAAUCACCUUGUUAGGGGAUAUUUUGUCAUUCAAUUCUCUCCACUUCUGAAUUAGGAAAUAUAUCCAUAGAGGUGAUACAUUUUCUUGUAUCAUGGUCAUCUAGCAAGCUAGUGAUGGAACAAACACUGGAAAAAAAUGAGUUACCUGACCAGAAUAGAAAAUGUAGGGAAAAGUUCCUUUGCCAAGUGUUGGUGAGGGGAAAAUUGCUAUUAUACAUAAUUCCCUGGCAGACUUUACUCCCGCAAGUAGUUUAACCUUAGUUGACAGUAUAAAGUACUUGCAGGUUCUCGAUGCUUACGUAUAUACAGUGUGUAAAGCAGAGCAAUGAGGCAAAUAUGUAAUGCUAUUUAAAAAAAAAAAAAACUUCCUGAGUUAGUAAAAAUAUAUUCUGAGGAGGUUUCCUUCAAAAUUAGAGCCUAGAGUAACAGAUGUCUCACAAAUUACAGUGUUUGUGGAUGUACAAGAAUUUGAAAGUGGUCCCCAAAGGUUACUAAGCCCCACUGUUUAUGAAAAAUGGAAUCAUUAGUGCAUAGCCUGGGUAAGCAAUAAGGUCACAUUCUGACAUUACUACACCAUCAAAGCUGCGGAGAAAAAGCAAGCUGAGCAGCAACAGCUGUAUUUCCAAAUGGUGAAAAUGUUAAAAUGUUGCAGAGAUCAGCGGAAGUUAUUUAUAUUCACCAGAAAGGUGCAUUGAUGAGGUGGGUUUCAUUUAAUUAAUAUUCUAUAAGAAAAAGCCCUUCAAGAUUUAGGGACCAUGUGAAUGAGGAUCUGGACUUCCUGUUUCCUUUUUUUUCUUUGGACAAAGACUAUAUUUUUAGUCUGGGCCAAAAAUUUUAUAUGUGCCUUUGGUUACAUAAGUCAAUCACUAUGUAUUAAUCCACAGAUCUGGAAGAACUUUCACAUUGCCUGAUAAAUUCUGUGAAGGUAGGGAUUUCUGUUUGUUUUGCUCACUUUUAUGACCUUCUGCCUGUAAUUGUGCCUGCAACGCAGUGCAUGUUCAAUCAAUAUUCAUUAAAUGAAUAAACACAUUAUUUCUCUUAUGCCGUGUUUAUUUAGGUCCUUACCACUUCUUGCCUGGGUUAUCAUAGCAGCCUUUAAUCCAGUUUUCUUGGCUCUGGUCUUAUCCCUAUUUCUCAUCUAAGUUUCAGUCUAGAGCCAGCUCGAAAAUGUACUUGUGAUACUGUCACUCUCUACUCUCAAAGUCUUCAAAAGCUCACCAUCAAUUGCAGGAUCAAGCUAAAGGUUUUUAAGAUGGUUUACGAGGUCCUCCGUGAUCUGACCCAAGCCCUCUCCAAGUGCGUCUCUCAGCACUAUCUGCCUCACAAUUUAUGUUUUAAUAACCACAAAUUGCCUUGUUGUUCUCUACACACACCAGAAGUUUCUUCCAUUUUCUUCAUGUGUUACUUCUGCUUGGAGUCUCUCAACCUCCCGUUCAUCUUUAAGAUUCAGCAAAGGAGUACUAAUCUACCCUUCUUUUUUAGCUUCUGGCUAGAUUACUUGCCAAAUUCAGCAUGCCUUGUACCCUAGGAAUAUGGCUAUCCUAGAACUUUCCACACUGCUCUGUGAUAGUGUAUUUAUGAAUCUAUCUCAUCCCCCAAACAGUGAGCUCCUCCAGGGCAAGGACAAGUUCUCAUCCAUUUUUAGAUUCCCAGUGCUUUGAACAAUAAAUGGCAGUUAGCAGACGCCCAUAAAUUUGUUGACUUACUUUGUAGAUAUAAAGGAAGAAAAAAAUCUUGUGACUCUGAGGGAGCGUGCUUAAUACAUAUUUUUUUACAUUUUGUGCAAAAGAUUUUUUUGCAAAGAACCCAAGAACUUUAUCCCACCUAAUUAAAAAAAAUCAAAACUAAAAGAAAAUGGUUAUAUCGCUUUAUCUACACAAAAAAGGAGAAACUGGCUAUAGACGGGGAAGAAGAAAUGAAAGCAGCCUGGUGGAGAAAAUAACCAGGAGAAGGAGGCAGAGAGAGGGCAGGUGACCUGUUCUAUUCAGGAUGUGAGGAGCAUGAUAUAUCUCUCUGGUGUGUGAAGUGGACUUGCUUCAUAAUUUAAAUACUCCCUUUGUGUGAAGUGGUUCUGUGAAUCUCACGUAGAGAUCUCCUCUAUUCUGGACCAGAGGGAAUGUAUGGUGGAAAUAAGCUGGGGAUCUGCUCUUGAUAUUUCAGUCCUCUCUCUGCUUCCUCCGAGACUUUUGUUAGCUCGAAUCCUUUACAGCAUGUAAGUGAGCUUGCUACUUGGUAAUAUUUGAAUUUGUGUGAUCUCUGUGUUAGCUCAGCUCCUGGACAUUUCUGAUUGCCUACCAAAUAAUAAUUCUCUUCUUUUUUAUUUACAGAACCCCAACUUUGUACACACCCUUGUAGAGUAGUGGAUACAAGUCUAGCCAAUGAAAUAGAAGCAGCAAAAUUCUCUGUUCUCCUGGGAAUAACUAAAAAGAAGUCAAAAGUCUAGCCUAGUUGAGCUGUGCAAGAGCUAUUGUAGAAGAAUCAAGAGAACCAGACAUAUAUUUUUCUUGCCCUGCAUUUGCUAGACCUUUAGAAGAUGAUCUUUACUUAGAUUUUGGUUGGAGAGAAGAACCACUCCAGAAAAAGAGAGAAAAGAGCAAGGGGGAAAAAGCAUGAAGGUGUCUUGAUAUAAGGAGAAGGAUCCCUUCCUUCAACGAAAUCAGAAGCCAGAAGUUGAAUAUGUAAAGACAGCACUGCUCUGGUUGACAUGUGGGUAGAGUCCUGGAAUUUCACUGGAAACCAAGCCAACUUUUCCCUACUACCCAGAAGAAAGUGCUUGAAGAUCCUAACACUGAGAUGAGAAUGUUAAAUAGCAGAUCGUAACACACUUCAGGAUCCACCCGGAUGAAAAAAAGGCUUAUUUAUGGACAUACAGAAGGAGCUAUAUUUAUAAUUAUAUGCAUUCAAAGUUGUGCAUUUCUAACACACUAAAAUCUUUUACAUGAUUUUACUGUUCAAAUGAAUCAAUUAUAUUUAGCUAAGCAUUCAUGAAUUAACACUCAUGUACACUUAAUUAUAUGCAUGUAUGUACUCAAUUAAGAAAAAUAAAGAAUGUUGUGUCUUACGCUUGUAUGACAGUAUAUCUAACAAAAGGAAAUUUUGGAAUUUGGGUCAUAAUUACACACUGAGAAAUCUUAAUACCUUCCAAUACAUCACUAAUUAUAGCCAACGGUAUAAUGAUAGUUAAGAGCCUAUUUUUUACAAACAUUUGUUCCAGUGCCCUGUGGCACCAAGGAUGCCCCUAGGAAAUCUUCCUAUGCUUACUUUUUGUGGAACCUAAGGGACCCUGGGUUUUUAUCCUUGCUGCUUCAUUAACUAGCUUGAUUUGAGGGGAAGUUGCUAACUUUCCCUGCCUUCAUUUUCAACACUACAAAAUAAUGACUUCUAGUUCUAACUGGUAUGACUAAUAGGCAUUUGAAAAAAGAUGAUUAUCUUCCCCAUGCUAGUUUCUACUUAAGCAAACAGGCUUUCUUUUACUAUUAUAAAUUGAUAUUUUAAGUAGAUAUUCCCACUUUUCUAGAACUUGCAUAAACUUAAUACAUUUAUUACACAACACUUACAAAUUUAGCCACUGGAUCAUAGCUCUACCUGAACACACUCUGUGGGAAGUCAACAGAUACCCAUAUGAUGUUCAGUUGCUUUUUUGUGAGUAUUUUGCUCGUAUUCUAGGUUUUAAAUACCUCAAAUGCUCUAAUUUCUGCUAUUAUCAUAAACAAAAUACAAUUUCUUGUAAUUAAUCAAAACUCAUAAUUUAGUUCAUUGAUAUUUCAAGCCUUUUGUUCUGUGGCUUCUUGAGGAUGAAUUUAUUCAUUCAUUCAUUCUUUCAUUAAUCCAACAAAUAUUUAUUGAGACUAAGAGGAGCCAUAGGUUUUUCUAGGCACUGAGAAUAAGACAGUAGACAAACCACUGCUCUCAAAGAGCUUAUGUUCUACUGACUUAAUGUAUACAUCAGGAAGAACACAAUUGUAUUUUCAAAAUAUAGAUAAUUUUAAUUGGCAUUAGAGAUUCCAAUAAACAUUUGUGAUGUUUAUCUUCUGCCAGAAUCUUGUAAAAAAAUCUUGUAAAUGAAUGUAGAUGUAUCCAAAUAAUGACUAAUUUUUUCCAUAAAACAAAAUGAUGAUUAAGUUUUAAAGACAAUGGGAUUUGAAUGAAAUGGACAGCUAUAGAUCUUAUAUAUAAAAUCAUUCUUGUAAGGAUCUGAUUUCAGAGAUUCACAGCUCAUAUAAAGAGGAAAUAUAAAGGUGCCUAGGUGGCUCAGGUGGUUAAGCAUCUGACUCUUGAUUUUAGCUCAGGUCAUGAUCUCAUGGUUGGUGAAUUUGAGCCUUACAUUGGGCUCUGUGCUGGUGGCGCUGAACCUGCUUGGGA